GCAUAAUCUCUACGGAGAAAAGCAGGGGAUCGCAAGACCUUGCGCUCUUGGAGCGGCCGAUGUCUGAUUAGCUAGUUGGUGAGGUAAAGGCUUACCAAGGCGACGAUCAGUAGCUGGUCUGAGAGGACGACCAGCCACACUGGGACUGAGACACGGCCCAGACUCCUACGGGAGGCAGCAGUGGGGAAUUUUGGACAAUGGGGGAAACCCUGAUCCAGCCAUGCCGCGUGAGUGAAGAAGGCCUUCGGGUUGUAAAGCUCUUUCAGCCGGAACGAAACGGUCACGGCUAAUACCUGUGAUCACUGACGGUACCG
rnacentral:rRNA from 1 species